rnacentral:rRNA from 1 species
UACAGAGGGUGCAAGCGUUAAUCGGAAUUACUGGGCGUAAAGCGUGCGUAGGUGGUUUGUUAAGUCAGGCGUGAAAUCCCUGGGCUCAACCUGGGAACUGCGUUUGAUACUGGCAGACUCGAGUGUGGUAGAGGGUAGUGGAAUUCCGCAUGUAGCAGUGAAAUGCGUAGAUAUGCGGAGGAACACCAGUGGCGAAGGCGGCUGCCUGGACCAACACUGACACUGAGGCACGAAAGCGUGGGGAGCAAACAGG